rnacentral:rRNA from 1 species
AACGAACGCUGGCGGCAGGCCUAACACAUGCAAGUCGAGCGAUCCCUUCGGGGAGAGCGGCGAACGGGUGAGUAACGCGUGGGAACGUACCUUUCGGUUCGGGACAACCCUUGGAAACGGGGGCUAAUACCGGAUAAGCACUACGGUGGAAAGAUUUAUUGCCGAAAGAUCGGCCCGCGUCCGAUUAGUUAGUUGGUGAGGUAAUGGCUCACCAAGACUCCGAUCGGUAGCUGGUCUGAGAGGAUGAUCAGCCACACUGGGACUGAGACACGGCCCAG